rnacentral:misc_RNA from 1 species
CCGAGUUUACAACUCCCAAACCCCUGUGAACAUACCUAUAUGUUGCCUCGGCGGAUCAGCCCGCGCCCCGUAAAACGGGACGGCCCGCCGCAGGAUCCACAAACUCUGUUUUUAUUGUAACUUCUGAGUAACAAAACAAGUAAGUCA